UUUGGGCGUGUCUCCCUUCUCGGGAGACACUCUCGACCCCACGAACCCUUGACCUCAAAUCGGGUGAGACUACCCGCUGAACUUAAGCAUAUCAAUAAGCGGAGGA
rnacentral:rRNA from 1 species